rnacentral:lncRNA from 1 species
ACAUGAUGCCUGUGAGAAAGGCCACAUUGACAGCCCUGAUCCGUGUGAUUUGUCUUCCAGGCAGCGGCAUUCUGGGCAACCCCAGCCAGCACAUUUCACUAGGAUCCACGUGGAGUGUGACCCCAUCUCCAUGGACUAUUCUGUCUUGGGAUGAUUGGUAUCAAUCUUUUCUUCCUGACCCAAACUUGUAGCCUGCACCUCCUUCUAAAACAGAACCAACUCCAAACCCAAGUGCUGUGAUGCUGCAGUUGGCACCUGUCACUACGAACAACUAAGAUGACAUGAGCCACCAGCCUCAUUCCCCACAGUGACCUAAGCCGGGAUUGUAGAGCGUUUGAAAAAGGGGGGCAAAGGCAGCAGAGCUACGGUUCACCAUGGGCUAUCGGCAAAUGUAGGCGGGCUAAUGAAUCCAUCUAUCUUCUGGAUCCACUGGACCGAACAUGCACAUAUGCAGGGAAGCAGCAGACGGCGUCUACUACUCUCACCCUCGGAUUCCCUCGCAAUAGGGGUGCCUCAGACAGGCAGCUGUCUCAGCAAUUGAAGGAUGAGGAUUCCAUCCACAUUUCCAUGGGGAAAAUUACUUUUCAUUCCAGAUUUGCUCCAUGUUCCAGCAUUUGGCCUUUUUGUGCAUUCCCAAAGCAAAUGAAACGUAAGCAUGGAGUUUGCUAAUUGUUUGCAUAAUGGAAAUAUAUAUAUAUAUAGCUAACUUUGUGAAGGCUGAUGAGUUCUUGGAAUCAUCUAAUAGCAAAUCUUGAUUCCCUAAAUCUCUCUCUCUUUGCAUGUGCUAAUUGGUCUUGGCAUUAAUUAAUCUGAUUUCAUUAUAUUCUCUUUAAUUUGUCAAGAUAUAAUUUCUUUAUUGCACAAAGAAAUGCUUUAGAGAAUUGUCACAAUUGGAAUAAUUUCCACAACCCCCUCCCUCUCUUUAAAGUUACCAAGAGAAGUCAUCAAUUAAGAUAAUUUGCAUACACAUUAGGUUAAUUGUUUUAGUUUAGCCAAAUUUGUGGAAAUUUACAUAGCAAAUUGACCCUCCACAUUUUCACUUAAACAUAUAAAGCGCAAGAGAGAAUUGUGUUCGAAUUGAUAAUGAAAUGGAGUUUAUUUUGCAUGGUUCUCUUACUAAAAGAGGUCUAAUUAGACCAAGUAAUUUUUUAUUUCAUCCGUAAUUGCAAAACAAAUAAGCUCUUUGGCAGUUUUUUUCCUCUCUCUUUCCCUGUGUCACAUGGAUGGGGAGCAUUAAUAGGAAAGUCAUGUUCUCCUAAUUAAGCCCCAUUUGAUUUCAGCACAUUCUUCCAUCAGAACCUCUUUAGUUUCUUCUAGUUUUUCUUCUGCUUCAGUUGCUUAAGCUUCCUGGAACACCUAUUAAUAGACAACUCCCCCAUACUGAUCUGCCUGAAUUAAAAUAAAAAACCAAAAAGCCCUGUAACUAAGACA